GAAAAGGUAACCCACGCCAUUCCCCCACUUCCUUCUUCUUCUUCAACCCCCCCGCUCCACCUCCAACCACCCCCUUUAUUCUUCUGCAACCCCCACUUUCUUUUUCCUUCAACCUACCCUUUCUUCUUCUACGUUCACUCUCCUCCUACCCUUCUGUACCCUAAAAAUCCAACCAUUUUACUGUCAAGUCCUUUUUUGAGAAGCUUUUAGUGAGGGAGGUGGAGGAGGCUUUCCCCGUAAAGUCAAUUUGGCUUUCCCCAUAAGGUCAAUUUGGAUUCCCUGUAAAGCUUUUAGCGAGGGAGGGGGGCAACCUCCACUUUUUAGUGAGGGGGUAUAAAUGAUUUGGACAGUUGGAGUAGUCUCCGGUCCCUUAUUUAUUUUUGGCAGGUUGUAUAGAGGAUUGGGUGUCUUUUGUAGAUAGCCAUGUCAUGCUGUAGGCUGUUUACUUUUUGGUAUACUGCUUGUAUAUGACCUAGUUUGGACCUGUGAUUAAUGAAAUUGUUUACCUAAUAAAAAAAAAGAAUCCAACCAAUUUACAAUCUAUAAAUUUGGAAAAAAAAAAUCAACAAAUUGAUCCAGAGGUUGGAAGCAGCCACAAGUAGAGCAAACAAGAAAUUGCAUCGUAUUUGAAGAAACAUAAUUACAAUAAUUUCAACAAAAAAAAAUUUGAGCAGUUUCAAAGCAAAAAAUGGUAGAAAAUCAUACCUUGUUUUCAAGAAAAUCAAGUUGUAGAGAUCGUAAAAAUUAAGAAAAUUGCUCUACUUUUGAAAAAUUGAAUUGGGUUUUAAAAGAAGACAUGGUUCUCUCUAAAAGAUACUCAAUCCUGUUAUUCAAAACCAUUUCAGUCUCAUCUCCCAAGCUCAAUCCUGUUAUUUGAUUUAUUUGUUAAGAUCUUAUUAACUGUUUAGGUUAAGAUCUAUCAGUCCGAGCUUCCAAGUUCAGAAAUAGAAGGAAAAUACCAUGUCCCAAAGAUCUAAUUCUUAUGCCUGAAGCUCUAUCAUUGCGCGAUCGUGACCAUGCCUUAUACGAUUCCGAAGCAUUGCUAGGGCAUGCCGAUGUGACCGUGAAGGUUACCCACCAACCACACUGCAUGAUCGUUAUUAAGCUUGCAC
rnacentral:lncRNA from 1 species